rnacentral:rRNA from 1 species
GGGGUGAAGUCGUAACAAGGUAGCCGUAGGUGAAACUGCAGAAGGGAUCA